AUGGCGUUCGAGUCGGGCGGUGUGGAGGGCGACGCGUCUGGGCCGCUCGACGCGAAGGGAGACGCAGCGAGCGCCGCGGCGGAGGCGGUCGGCUGGACGGUGGUGCGGCCUGCCNNNNNNNNNNNNNNNNNNNNNNNGCUGCCAGAGGGGCGGCCCCCUGCUCCGUCCUUCUCCGGCAGCCGGUUCUGGGCGCUAGAGGGGAUUGACUCCGACAUCGACGCCGACGAGGUAGAUUCUCAGGUGAGUUUAGGUAGUUCCGGUGGUUCGCCGAGGCCCAAGGCUGGGUGCUCGGUGGGUGAUUUCAUCGCCCGCGCGGAGGAGCUUGGGGGCUCCUUCGUGGCUGGUCGGCGGCGUGCUUUUGCUCCCGGAGGGCAGGGAGGCCGCCGCCUGGCGGCGCGGAUCUGGUGCCCGCCAAAGGGGGUGGAUGCGGGCCCAGAAGGCCGCUCGUGCGUCAUCCCGUAG
rnacentral:rRNA from 1 species